UACGUAGGAGGCGAGCGUUGUCCGGAGUUACUGGGCGUAAAGGGUGCGUAGGCGGCCGCCUGCGUGCGGGGUGAAAUCUCCCGGCUCAACCGGGAGGGGGCCGCGGAGACGGGGCGGCUUGAGGCGCGGAGAGGGGCGUGGAAUUCCGGGUGGAGCGGUGAAAUGCGUAGAUAUCAGGAGGAACACCUGUGGUGUAGACGGCUCUCUGGACCGCAACUGACGCUGAGACACGAAAGCGUGGGUAGCAAACAGG
rnacentral:rRNA from 1 species